rnacentral:rRNA from 1 species
AUUGAACGCUGGCGGCAUGCUUUACACAUGCAAGUCGAACGGCAGCACGGACUUCGGUCUGGUGGCGAGUGGCGAACGGGUGAGUAAUACAUCGGAACGUACCCAGUAAUGGGGGAUAACUAUCCGAAAGGAUAGCUAAUACCGCAUACGCCCUACGGGGGAAAGAGGGGGAUUGCAAGACCUCUUGUUCUUGGAGCGGCCGAUGGCGGAUUAGAUAGUUGGUAGGGUAAAGGCCUACCAAGGCAACGAUCAGUAGCGGGUGUUAGAGGACGAUCCGCCACACUGGAACUGAGACACGGUCCAGACUCCUACGGGAGGCAGCAGUGGGGAAUCUUGGACAAUGGGCGCAAGCCUGAUCCAGCAAUGCCGCGUGCGCGAAGAAGGCCUUCGGGUUGUAAAGCGCUUUUGUCAGGGAGCAAAUCCUUGUGGCUAAUACCCACCGGGGAUGAGAGUACCUGAAGAAUAAGGACCGGCUAACUACGUGCCAGCAGCCGCCGUAAGAC